GAUUGGGUCAUAGGCUCUCGUUCUUCAGGCUGUAUAAUUUGUGGAGUGUUGUCCUGUUCUUAAGACCGGAAGUGCGCAAGGAGAGCACUCUAAUUGCAGGUAUCACAGGUGGUAGAGAAAAUACCUUUUUUAUCUCCAGAUGAGAACUCUGGAAUGUGGAUGAUUACAUCACCCCAGAUCAUCAGUAAAGAUGUUGAACCGGACUGAGCCCAGCACUGAUCCUUGG